AACGAACGCUGGCGGCAUGCCUAACACAUGCAAGUCGAACGAGACCUUCGGGUCUAGUGGCGCACGGGUGCGUAACGCGUGGGAACCUGCCCUUAGGUUCGGAAUAACUCCCCGAAAGGGGUGCUAAUACCGGAUAAUGUCUUCGGACCAAAGAUUUAUCGCCUUUGGAUGGGCCCGCGUUGGAUUAGCUAGUUGGUAGGGUAAAAGCCUACCAAGGCGACGAUCCAUAGCUGGUCUGAGAGGAUGAUCAGCCACACUGGGACUGAGACACGGCCCAGACUACUACGGGAGGCAGCAGUGGGGAAUAUUGGAAAAGGGGGGAAAGGCUGAACAAGCAAUGCCGGGUGAGUGAUGAAGGCCUUAGGGUUGUAAAGCUCUUUUACCCGGGAUGAUAAUGACAGUACCGGGAGAAUAAGCACCGGCUAACUACGUG
rnacentral:rRNA from 1 species